rnacentral:rRNA from 1 species
CCCUUAGAUGUUCUGGGCAGCACGCGCGCUACAAUGGUCUUCGCAAACGGAUGCAUUCUCGAAGGAGAAUGCCAAUCUUGGAAUCUAUGCCUUGGUCGGGACAGUUGCUUGCAAUUUUUCGACUCGAACCAGGAAUUCCUUGUAAUCGUGAUUCAUCACAUCACGAUGAAUACGUCCCUGCCCUUUGUACACACCGCCCGUCGCUCCUACCGAUCGAAGACUUAGGUGAAUUGUUUUGAUCGAUAAGAUUUGACUAUGGUCAACUCUCGUUGUGAAAUUCUGUGAAUCUGACUGUUUAGAGGAAGGAAAAGUCGUAACA